UUUACAUAGCGUUUCUUUUAAAUGUUGCCAGCUGGAUUUCAUCACCUUUUUCUGUUAGACUGUUGGACUGGAUAUGGAUCCAUAUGACAGCCGCUGGAUGGAGAUAACAUCGCGCUGACAGCAGAUGUGGAUUAGUGUUACCAGCCCCGCUGCUGCCGAGUGCUGAUGACUGGGCCUCUGCAGGUUGUUUGCAAGGGGAAGGGGCAGCAGAGGCCUGCACUAACCAGAGGGGUGGCUUGUCUUUGGGCACCAACUCUCAGCCGGGACGCUCUCAUUUCCAGGACCAAGACACAACGACACACACGCACACAGCACACACACACACAGCUCUUCUUUCAGCAAACAGGUUGAUAUGGUGAGACAAAGUUACUGGGUGGGCUCCUCUGCAGCAGUGGAUGUCCCUCGGUUCAAGGCUAUCAAGUGUUUUCCAUUUUAAAAAAAAAGAAGAAAAGACAGAAAGAAAGAAAAUUAAAAUAAAUAAAACAAAAUAAAAUAAAAUGAGCCAAAAGUUUGGUGAAGUUUGGCUCAGUGCUUAAUAAAGGCAGCAGGUCAGCGAAGGGAGAGGGUGACAGCGAGGUUAGCUGGAGGGCCAGACAGCGC